UUCAUAAAGAGAAAGUAGUACAUAACUUCAAGAUAGAUGCAAAUCCUACAAAGCAAGUGAAACAGAUAUGAAAAAUGAAUCAACUUGCUCUGCCGUCAAAAGACUAGCUCAUUCUUCAAAGAUAGAUCUGUUGUAGCAUCAGAGCUCGUACGGCCCGAAUCUCAUACCAUCGGUGAUGAGCACACACCGAGAAUUUCUCUUUAGCAACAAUGGCUAUGCCAAAAGAUAAAGCGUGCCAAAGUUCGGCGUCCCCAGCACCAUCACCGUGUAUAGAACACAAUAAUACUAAUAAGUUGUAUGAAUACAGAACACGUCUUGAAAAUCCCAGAUCUAUCUCGAGAUUAGGAUAGAAGAGCGUCCGAAUCUAGACCUAGCUCUAGAUCGGGAGAGAAAAGCUGCAAACUAUAUAGCAGUUGAUCACAAAAUCAUAUAAGCCAAAUGCAAAAGAAAACAAAAG